UGGGCUUUCUGGGAUGCACAGUUGCUGGAUUAAUCAUCAGCUUCGUGACAGGCAGGCAAAACGGCAAAGAUAUUGACCCACUUUUAAUAAGACCAGUUUGCAAUUUAUUUUGCUUUUGGUCUAAGAAAUACAAAACUCUGUGCUGGUGUGGAGUUCAGCAUGACCAGGAAACAGAGCAGGAUUACCUUGACAAUGACAGUGCCUGGAAACAGGGGGCUGAGUCUGCCCUACAGAAUGGACUCAAGCAAGAAAGCCUGGCCCAGAUUCCAGGCUACAACUCUAAAGACAAAAAUUACA